UACCUGCAGCUCAAGUGGUGGCCGCUAUUAUUGGGCCUAAAACGUUCGUAGCCGGUUUGGUAAAUGCCUGGGUAAAUCGUGUAGCUUAACUGUACGAAUUCCGGGUAGACUGCCAAACUUGAGACCGGGAGAAGCUAGAGGUACUCCUGGGGUAGAGGUGAAAUUCUGUAAUCCUAGGGGGACCACCAGUGGCGAAGGCGUCUAGCUAGAACGGGUUUGACGGUGAGGAACGAAGCCCUGGGGCGCAAACCGGAUUAGAUACCCCGGGUAGUCCAGGGUGUAAACGCUGCCUGCUUGAUGUUAGUUGGGCUCCGAGCCCAAUUAGUGUCGGAGAGAAGUUGUUAAGCAAGCUGCCUGGGAAGUACGAUCGCAAGAUUGAAACUUAAAGGAAUUGGCGGGGGAGCACAGCAACGGGUGGAGCGUGCGGUUU
rnacentral:rRNA from 1 species